UAAUAUAGAGGGUUCGAUCCUGGCUUCCAGAUUGAACGCUGGCGGGAUGCUUUACAUGCAAGUCGAACGACAGCACAGACUUCCGGUCUGGGUAAGAAAAGUAUGAACGGUGAGUAAUGUAUCGGAACGUGCCUAGUAGCGGGGAUAAUCACGCGAAAGCGUGUUAAUACCGGCACAGCCUUCGGGGAAAGCGGGGACCUUCGGCCUCGUGCAAUUAGAGCGGCUGAUAUCGAUUAGCUAGUUGGCGGGGGUAACGGUCACCAAGGCGACGAUCCGUAGCUGGUUUGAGAGGACGACCAACCACACUGGGACCGGGAGACACGGCCCAGACUCAUGGGAGGCAGGGAAUUUUGGACAAUGGGGAAACUCCUGAUCCAGCCAUCCCGCGGGUGAUGAAGGCCUUCGGGCUAAAGGCCUUUGGCAGGAAAGAAACGGCACGGGAUAAUACCCUGUGCAACUGACGGUACCUGCAGAAUAAGCACCGGCUAACUACGUGCCAGCAGCCGCGGUAAUACGUAGGGUGCAAGCGUUAAUCGGAAUUACUAUGAAGCGUGCGCAGGCGGUUCGAAAGAAAGAUGUGAAAUCCCAGGAGCUUAACUUUAAACUGCAUUUUUAACUACCGAGCUAGAGUGUGUCAGAGGGAGGUGGAAUUCGCGUGUAGCAGUGGAAUGUGUAGAUAUGCGGAGGAACACCGAUGGCGAAGGCAACCUCCUGGGAUAACACUGACGCUCGUUAGCACGAAAGCGUGGGAGCAAACAGGAUUAGAUACCCUGGUAGUCCGUCAUUCUAAACGAUGUCAAUCAGCUGUUGGGGCCUUCGGGCCUUGGUAGCGCAGCUUAACGCGUGAAGUUGGACCGUCUGGGGAGUACGGUGGUCGCAAGAUUGUAAAACCUAAAGGAAUUGACGGGGACCCGCACAAGGGUGGAUGAUGUGGAUUAAUCUGAUGCAACGUUAGCAACCUUACCUACCCUUGACAUGUCUGGAAUCAAAGAGAUUUGGGAGUGCUCGCAAGAACUGAACACAGGUGCUGCAUGGCUGUCGUCAGCUCGUGUCGUGAGAUGUUGGGUUAAGUCCCGCAACGAGUGCAACCCUUGUCAUUAGUUGCUACGAAAGGGCACUCUAAUAGAUCACAGACAAACCGGAGGAAGGUGGAUGACGUCAAGUCUCAUGGCCCUUAUGGGUAGGGCUUCUUACACGUCAUACAAUGGUCGGGACAGAGGGUCGCCAACCCGCGAGGGGGAGCCAAUCCCAGAAACCCGAUCGUAGUCCGGAUCGCAGUCUGCAACUCGACUGCGUGAAGUCGGAAUCGCUAGUAAUCGCGGAUCAGCAUGUCGCGGUGAAUACGUUCCUGGUCUUGUACACACCGCCCGUCACACCAAGGGAGUGGUUUACCAGAAGUAGUUACUCAACCGUAUGAGGGCGAUUACCACGGUAGGAUUCAUGACUGGGUGAAGUCGCACGAAGGUAG
rnacentral:rRNA from 1 species